AACAAAGUGCCUGAUUAAAGGAUUACAAUGAUAAAGUAAAUAAAGUACGUUUAUAUGUACCUUUGCUA
rnacentral:tRNA from 1 species